rnacentral:misc_RNA from 1 species
GCCAUAAUUAAAUAUUGGGGUGGAUUAUAAUUUUAUUCCUGAAUUUUGUUAUUAUUUAUAAUUUGAUUCCUAUAUUAUAAAGAAACUUAUUAAAAUGUCUUAUUGAUUUCGUCAAACACUUUCAUUGCUCCAUCCAAUUAAUUGUUAAUACUAAAGAAAAAAAAUUAAAUACCCUUUAAAAACUAGCAAUUAGAGGGAUGUUUCUAAAAUAGAUGGACGAAAGUGUUAAUAAGAGCAAUAACAAUAGCAAAAUGAGAGAAUAAAUAGUCAUCUAUUUAAAAUUUAAUUACAAUAUGUCAGAAUAGACUUAAAAAAUGGUUUAAUGGAAUCAAAUCUGAGAAAUGUUUUA